CAACGCCAGAGCAGUGGAAGACCAAGCUGGGGAUCAGAGGGGGCUCAGGAGACCUGCCCAUAGUCCUGCUCUGCUGCUGUCUGCAGGGUGCUUUCAGUGGAUGAGCUAAAGAUCAAUGAUAUCAAGUAUGAAGUUAAUCUAUUUAAUGCAAGCAGAUCAUUGUUGUUUUGAUGUGUCCAGGCAUAUUUGAGAAAUAGUUGGUCCUGAAAAAAAGUCAACAUUUGCCCAGUGGUCUGGAGCUCGACUACAGAUAAACAGAGGUACAGCCACAAAGCCAACCAGUCCUGGUGAAGUCCACAGGACAGACCAGGGGUCAAAAGGGAAACGGAGAAACCAAGAGGUGAAUGGCAGGAGCUACAAAGGAAUUUGGGGAAGCAGGGAAGUCUGCGGGCCAUCUGGCACGAGGGCAAGGGGAGCCGGGGCCAGGGCUGGACAGCAAGGCGUGAGGAAGGUCCAUGGGUGUGGAAAGAG